rnacentral:rRNA from 1 species
GCCAACGAUCAUACCACGUUGAAUACACCAGUUCCCAUCAGAUCACUGAUGUUAAGCAACGUCGGGCGUGGUCAGUACUUGGAUGGGUGACCGCUUGGGAACACCACGUAUCGUUGGCUCUU